rnacentral:rRNA from 1 species
GACGAACGCUGGCGGCGUGCUUAACACAUGCAAGUCGAACGGUGAUCUUGAGAGCUUGCUCUUGGGUGAUCAGUGGCGAACGGGUGAGUAACACGUGAGUAACCCGCCCCUGACUCUGGAAUAACUUCGGGAAACCGAAGCUAAUACCGGAUAUGACACAGAGCCGCAUGGUUUCUGUGUGGAAAGUUUUUCGGUUGGGGAUGGACUCGCGGCCUAUCAGCUUGUUGGUGAGGUAAUGGCUCACCAAGGCGACGACGGGUAGCCGGCCUGAGAGGGCGACCGGCCACACUGGGACUGAGACACGGCCCAGACUCCUACGGGAGGCAGCAGUGGGGGAAUAUUGCACAAUGGGCGAAAGCCUGAUGCAGCGACGCCGCGUGAGAGAUGAAGGCCUUCGGGUUGUAACCUACUUUCAGUAGGGAAGAAGCGCAAGUGACGGUAC